rnacentral:rRNA from 1 species
AUUGAACGCUGGCGGCAGGCUUAACACAUGCAAGUCGCGCGAGCGGCGGACGGGUGAGUAAUGUCUGGGAAACUGCCUGAUGGAGGGGGAUAACUACUGGAAACGGUAGCUAAUACCGCAUACCAUCAGAUUGGCCCAGAUGGGAUUAUCUAGUAGGUGGGGUAAUGGCUCCCCUAGGCGACGAUCCCUAGCUGUUCUUCGAGGAUGACCAGCCACACUGGAACUGAGACACGUUCCAGACUCCUACGGGAGGCAGCAGUGGGGAAUAUUGCACAAUGGGCGCAAGCCUGAUGCAGCCAUGCCGCGGGUGUGAAGAAGGCCUUCGGGUUGUAAAGCACUUUCAGCGAGGAGGCGUUACGCGCAGAAGAAGCACCGGCUAACUCCGUGCCAGCAGCCGCGGUAAUAC